GAAGAAGAAGAAGAAGAAGAAGCGCAGCGCGUGAGUAGAUAAGCCAAGUAUGGAAUAUGGCACGUCUGCUGUCUGCAAGCGUAUUUGUAGGUACAGCGCACGUGAUGUUAUUAUUAUUAUUAUGAAUAUUGUUAUUAUAAAAUUAAGGGUAAAACAUUAUUUUUUCAAAUUUCACAUGAAAAGUUUGAUUGCUUGUUUUCAUCGUGAGAUUCACAGAAAAAGCUGUCUAAUUAAUGAAUUAUGCAAGCAAGUUUCUUAUUUUUAACAAAU
rnacentral:misc_RNA from 1 species